rnacentral:rRNA from 1 species
UAGUGAUUAACGCGAAGAACCUUACCAAGGUUUGACAUGGCCGGAAAACUCAUGGAGACAUGGGGUCCUUCGGGGCCGGUCACAGGUGGUGCAUGGCUGUCGUCAGCUCGUGUCGUGAGAUGUUGGGUUAAGUCCCGCAACGAGCGCAACCCUUGUCCCAUGUUGCCAGCAUUGAGUUGGGGACUCAUGGGAAGACUGCCGGGGUCAACUCGGAGGAAGGUGGGGAUGACGUCAAGUCAUCAUGCCCCUUAUGUCUUGGGCUGCAAACAUGCUACAAUGGCCGGUACAGAGGGCUGCGAGCCUGUGAGGGUGAGCGAAUCCCGGAAAGCCGGUCUCAGUUCGGAUCGGGGUCUGCAACCCGACCCCGUGAAGUCGGAGUCGCUAGUAGUCGCGAAUCAGCAAUGUCGCGGUGAAUACGUUCCCGGGCCUUGUCACACCCGAAUCGAA